UACGGGGGGGGCAAGCGUUGUUCGGAAUUAUUGGGCGUAAAGAGCUCGUAGGCGGCUGUCCACGUCGGAUGUGAAGGCUCGGGCUCAACCCUGAGAGGCCAUUCGAUACGGGACGGCUAGAGGUAGGUAGGGGAGAUUGGAAUUCCUGGUGUAGCGGUGAAAUGCGCAGAUAUCAGGAGGAACACCGGUGGCGAAGGCGGAUCUCUGGGCCUUACCUGACGCUGAGGAGCGAAAGCUGGGGAGCAAACAGG
rnacentral:rRNA from 1 species